rnacentral:rRNA from 1 species
GUGUCAGCAGCCGCGGUAAUACGGAGGGUGCGAGCGUUGUCCGGAAUCACUGGGCGUAAAGGGCGCGUAGGUGGCGCGGCAAGUCAACGGUGAAAGCUCGACGCUCAACGUCGAGUCGGCCGUCGAUACUGCCGCGCUGGAGCACUGUAGAGGCUCAUGGAAUUCCGGGUGUAGCGGUGGAAUGCGUAGAGAUCCGGAAGAACACCGGUGGCGAAGGCGGUGAGCUGGGCAGUUGCUGACACUGAGGCGCGACAGCGUGGGGAGCAAACAGGAUUAGAUACCCUAGUAGUCC